rnacentral:lncRNA from 1 species
CUUUCUCCCCGACUCCCUGGCCAUGGGAUUCAGGAAAACAGGCAGUGAAAGGCUUCAACAGUUCCUUUCCAGUUUUCCACGGGGGCCCCAAGGAACGCCUGCGGCUGGAAUUCCCCGGGAGACAGGGAGCUGUAACAAUAGAGGUUCAUAUUCUAAAGAGAGCAGGCACUGAGCAAAUGUUUGUUGAACUGAACCAAUCUGCUAGUUAUGGGGACAUGACCUCCACUUCAUGGUGUUGAACUAAACAAACACAUACUUCUCCAGACAAAUAUUAAAACUGGUGAACUUCAAAAUAACGUGAAAA